CUACCACAGAGCAGAGUCUGCAGUGUCCAGCUGUCUGUCCAUGAAGAGUGACUGGUCUAAAGAUAUACCUCUAUUCUUCAGUAAUGGACCUGGACCUUCACACACAAAAGGUUCCUACCACAGAGCAGAGUCUGCAGUGUCCAGCUGUCUGUCCAUGAAGAGUGACUGGUCUAAAGAUAUACCUCUAUUCUUCAGUAAUGGACCUGGACCUUCACACACAAAAGGUUCCUACCACAGAGCAGAGUCUGCAGUGUCCAGCUGUCUGUCCAUGAAGAGUGACUGGUCUAAAGAUAUACCUCUAUUCUUCAGUAAUGGACCUGGACCUUCACACACAAAGUA